UACAGAGGAUGCAAACGUCAUUCGGAAUCACUGGGCUUAAAGGGUGCGUAGGCGGUCUUGUAAGUAGGGUGUGAAAGCCCCCGGCUCAACCGGGGAACUGCGUCCUAAACUGCGAGGCUAGAGUGAGGUAGGGGUGUGUGGAACUUCCAGUGGAGCGGUGAAAUGUGUUGAUAUUGGAAGGAACGCCGGUGGCGAAAGCGACACACUGGACCUUGUCUGACGCUGAGGCACGAAAGCCAGGGGAGCAAACGGG
rnacentral:rRNA from 1 species